rnacentral:misc_RNA from 1 species
UUUUAGCUAUUUGGGGCUUGCCUGGCAUUUGAGCUUGGUGGGUUGCUUUUAUCUAGGUGGUUUCGGGGAUGUUUACCGUAUAGGUGCAUGAGUGGUGUUUGGUUUGUUACGGGUGGUUGGCUCUUUGCUUGCGCAACAACUUCCACCUGGCUUACCUCUUCAGUUUUGUGUCAAUGCUUGUAUUGCAUUGAAUUCAAUGCGGGUUUCUUGUGUUGCAUACCAAAUUGAUGGUAUCGUUUUGAUGAGUUGAUGCCCCUUUUUUGUCUUGUGUCGCACAUGCGAUGUGAGAUGAACCUUGAAGCACUCUUUGUGAUUCACUCUUUUGAUGUACAUGCAUUGAUGGUGUGGCUCUUUAAGUGUUGCUUGGUCUCAUGGAUAUAGAAGUUGGUGUGGGCAUGGGAUCUUAGUGUUUUUACUAGUUCCUUGUUUGCCUUGCUUUAGCUUCUCCAAUACGAUUUGACUAUCACGUAUGGCACGUCUCAGCGUGGUAGUCUAAUUCAAAGAUGAAUG